AGCAGUUCUGCAGCAAGGGUAACUUAGCAGCAUGGAAGAGUUGCAGGAUUGAGAAGAGCCUGAAUUCUUUGAUGUGUUGUUCAUAAAGAAUUUGGUACAGAGUAUUUUUCUUCUAGUCCACCUGAAAUCUUCAAGAAGGAGCCAGAGCACACAGGAAAAGAUAAAUCGAAAGUCCUCCAAUCUCCAUUUUUUCCUCAUCUUUGCCAACAAAAAGGAAAGAAAAAUCCUUCAAAGGGCAGAAUGUUGAGUUGCUGGGAAGAAAAUGUGAAAAGACUUAAGACUGAAAUCCUCUGGGACUACUUAAAAUUAAGGUCUCCAAUAUGAUUUCAACCAACAUAUAAAAAUCGAAAGCUGCCAGAAAACAAGACAAGACAAAACAACAGCAAAAAAAGUCUGUACAGAGCUUUGUUUAGUGGAAACAUUUUAGGCUUGAGAUUAAAUUGCUUCAUUUUUGG